rnacentral:rRNA from 1 species
UAGGGAAUCUUCCACAAUGGACGCAAGUCUGAUGGAGCAACGCCACGUGAGUGAAGAAGGUUUUCGGAUCGUAAAGCUCUGUUGUUGGUGAAGAAGGAUAGAGGUAGUAACUGGCCUUUAUUUGACGGUAAUCAACCAGAAAGUCACGGCUAACUACGUGCCAGCAGCCGCGGUAAUACGUAGGUGGCAAGCGUUGUCCGGAUUUAUUGGGCGUAAAGCGAGCGCAGGCGGAAGAAUAAGUCUGAUGUGAAAGCCCUCGGCUUAACCGAGGAACUGCAUCGGAAACUGUUUUUCUUGAGUGCAGAAGAGGAGAGUGGAAUUCCAUGUGUAGCGGUGGAAUGCGUAGAUAUAUGGAAGAACACCAGUGGCGAAGGCGACUCUCUGGUCUGCAACUGACGCUGAGGCUCGAAAGCAUGGGUAGCGAACAGG